rnacentral:siRNA from 1 species
CAAGGUUGAAUGAUGGUCUU